CGGGUGAGUAACGCGUGGGCAACCUACCGUAUACAGGGGGAUAACACUUAGAAAUAGGUGCUAAUACCGCAUAAGCGCACAGCAGUGCAUACUGGAGUGUGAAAAGCCGAGACGGUAUACGAUGGGCCCGCGUCUGAUUAGCCAGUUGGCAGGGUAACGGCCUACCAAAGCGACGAUCAGUAGCCGGCCUGAGAGGGCGGACGGCCACAUUGGGACUGAGACACGGCCCAGACUCCUACGGGAGGCAGCAG
rnacentral:rRNA from 1 species